GGGGAAUCUUAGACAAUGGGGGAAACCCUGAUCUAGCCAUGCCGCGUGAGUGAUGAAGGCCUUAGGGUUGUAAAGCUCUUUCGCUGGGGAAGAUAAUGACGGUACCCAGUAAAGAAGCCCCGGCUAACUCCGUGCCAGCAGCCGCGGUAAUACGGAGGGGGCUAGCGUUAUUCGGAAUUACUGGGCGUAAAGCGCACGUAGGCGGACCAGAAAGUUAGGGGUGAAAUCCCGGGGCUCAACCUCGGAACUGCCUCUAAAACUCCUGGUCUUGAGUUCGAGAGAGGUGAGUGGAAUUCCGAGUGUAGAGGUGAAAUUCGUAGAUAUUCGGAGGAACACCAGUGGCGAAGGCGGCUCACUGGCUCGAUACUGACGCUGAGGUGCGAAAGCGUGGGGAGCAAAC
rnacentral:rRNA from 1 species